rnacentral:rRNA from 1 species
UACGGAGGGAUCAAACGUUAAUCGGAAUUACUGGGCGUAAAGCGCGCGUAGGUGGUUUAUUAAGUGGGAUGUGAAAGCCCCAGGCUUAACCUGGGAACAGCAUUCCAAACUGAUGAACUAGAGUACGAUAGAGGGGGGUAGAAUUCAGAGUGUAGCGGUGAAAUGCGUAGAUAUUCUGAGGAAUACCGGUGGCGAAGGCGGCCCCCUGGAUUGAUACUGACACUGAGGUGCGAAAGCGUGGGGAGCAAACAGGAUUAGAUACCCUCGUA